ACAAAGGGAUCUAUUUUUACCCAUGACACUCGCAGUCAUACUAAUCAGACGCUGAGCCAGCCGAAAAUGACAGGAAUCGUAACAAGUUUGCAGUUAACAUGGGAUGACAUCCAUCUUCUAGCCAGUGAUGCUCUUGGAAAAGCCUUUUUAUGGGACCUGAGAAUGAAGAGAGUUCUAGUUGAGUACACAGGAAUGAAGAAUAAGGGAACAAGAAUCCCAGUUUACAUGGAUGAUGCAGAGAAACUAGUGUAUGGAUGUGAUUUAGAAGGGUACACCAGAUUUUGGUGUAAAAAUUCCGGGAAACUCCUAAGGACCAUUCCCUCCCCGGUGCAGUGUUCAUCAACGAGUGUACCAGUUGUGUUGUAUUCUGAGACCUGGGGCAACAGAACAGGAAACUCAGCCCUGCUGUUAGGGGCUGGAAAUAAACUAUAUGUUUAUAAAGUUUAAACAAAUGCCCUGUGUAUAGUUCAAAUCCAUCUUACAUGUACAUGUAUAAGGCAUUUGCAUGAAUAAGCAACAGUUCUGAUUUGAGUUGAAGAGCAGAAUUUGAAUCCUUGUUAUGCCUGACACAAGAUAUCAGGGAAACAUCAGCAUUAUUUC
rnacentral:misc_RNA from 1 species